GCUAGGAUAGCUCAAUGGUAGGGCGUUGGGCUAGCAAUCAGCCAUCCCUGGUUCGAAUCCAGAUUCUGUCC
rfam:Oesophagostomum dentatum strain OD-Hann O_dentatum-1.0_Cont383.4, whole genome shotgun sequence.